AUCGUAUCAAAAACCGGUCCAAUGAGCCCAAACGACGGCUUUACCUAGAGAACGCUAACCAUAGCUUGUAACACUGUGACUCUGUGAGCAAGCUGCUGGUUUGCUUGAAAUCAUGGCUGCUGCGGUUGCUGUUGAUGUUGAUCUUCUUUCAUGGAAAGUUGAAAUUUUAAAACUGACGGUUUCCAUCAUUGGUGUAUGUGGUAUGGGAAGAGUUGGAAAGAAUACUUUGGUGAAGAAUUUGAAUAAUGAACUCAUAAAGACUAUUGCGUCAGGCUCUAAACUGUCUUUUGGUCUUGUGGUAUGGGUUACAGUUCCCAAACCGCCAAUAGACAUAAACAAGGUUCAAACAAAAAUUGCCAAUAGAAUAGACAUAAAGGUUGAUGUCAACAAAAGAGUACAAGACGUUGCCAAUAAAAUUCAUCAAAGACUCAAGCAAGAAAUGAGCUCAGUUCUUAUACUGGAUCAUGCUUGGCAAAUGAAAACAUACACCGAAACAAAGGUGUACACUAUGAAUGAGGAUGAAUCUUGGCAACUGUUUGUCAAAAAAGUAGAAGAUAAUGCCUCUUUGGAGCAUAGUCAACCAUUCGCAAAGGCAAUUGCAAGAGAGUGCAAUGGUAUACCUUUAGCAAUUGUUGUUAUUGGAGCAUCUGUGAGGGAAGAAGAGGGUCGAGUUGUGGAAAGAUUCUUUAGAAUCACUUGGAAUGUCCAAACCUCAUAACAAAUAUGUCAAAAAGAGAGGUGACAUUCAAAGUUGUUUCUUGUAUUGCUCCUUAUAUCCGAUGACUAUUCCAAUAGAUGAUCUCAUACACAUUGCCGAUGGGCAGAUGGGUUACUUUGUGAACGUAACACAUGAAGCCUACAAUACGGGAAUCACAAUGAUUGAGAGUCUAAAAGAUGCCUGCUUGCCUGAAAUGUAUGAGUUUGAUUCUGUGAAGAUGCAUGACGUAGUUCAAGAUGUUGGGUACAUGGAUAGCUAAUUCCUUUGGGAAGGACAUGGAGAAGCUAACAAAGUUCAGAGAUGCUAUCAAGGAGAAGGUGGAUGGAGCUGAGAGAGAAGGCUAUAAACCAAAACCAGAUGUUUUGAAGUGGCUCAAGGUCUUAAGGAGAUGCUAUCAAGGAGAAGGUGGAAGGAGUUGAGAGAGAAGGCUAUAAACCAAAACCGGAUGUCCUUAAGUGGCUCAAGGAUGUUCAGAAGCUGGAGAAUGAAUGGGAGUCUAUUCAAGAAAGCAUUGCAAUGACGAAGAAGCUUGCAUAAAAAUGCUGUCCAAAUUGCAGCCUUCACUUGGAAGUCUCCACUCAAGCACAAAACCCGUGAGAUCAACUUUGUAAGCUUAUAGAUAUUGGAGAAAGCUUUGAAUCCAAUUUGAUGGUAGAAUAUUACCCGAUGAAAAAAAGUUGAGUUCAUCUCAGGACCAUCAAUAGAAGGCCAGUCAGCAGCAACAAGGAAUCUCAACAAAAUCCUACAACUAUUAGAAGAUGAUGAGGUGGGGAUCAUUAUGGGAGGAGUGGGAAAGACUACUUUGGUGAAGAAUUUGAACAAUGAGCUACUAAAGACUACCGCGUCAAGCUCCAAACUGCCUUUUUAUUAAAUUGGAUACUUCAUCAAUUCUCAAUGGAGACCACACAUGGAUGACUAGAUUGAAAAGAUUCCGCAUUGAAGUUGGGGAAGCUCCAGUACCAGUAAAAUUCAACAAGUCAGCAAGGAUGAUAUAUGCGUCUCCAAUUGUGAAAGUUUCAGCAAGGGAGAGCUCUCAAUGAAUAGGUGUGUCAGAGAAAUCUGAGAGUUCAAGCAAGAUUUGUUAGUUAGCUUCACAUCAUGGCUCACUGGCAGUAUGUCCGUGCAACUUUACUGGCAAGAAACAAAGCUGAUGGCUUAUACUCUGUCAAUGCAGGCUACUCAACCCUUUGUGCACAGAAUGAGAUGGUGGAAAGCUGGUCGUGGAAACUAAUUUGGGAAACAAAAUUACCACCAAAGGUGAUUUGCUUCAGUUGGAAAGCACCAUACGAAGCAUGUUUUGACUGAAGAUAAUCUCAACAGAAGAAAAAUGCACAUUGUCAACAGAUGCUACUUGUGCAAACAAUGUAUAGAAACCAGCAGUCAUCUCUACUACACUGCUCAGUUGCUAUAGAAAUUUGGAAUAUGUUCGUUUCAGAUUUUGGGCUCAGUUGGGUCAUGCCUGAGAGGAAAAUCUAGAAAAUAGUCCCUGCUUGUAUUGUUUGGUGAAUUUGGAUAGAAAAGGAAUAUGUUUGUUUCUAUUGCAAAUUGAAGCAAUAGAAGGAAAUAUGAUGCAACACAAAAGAAGCCCAAUUUGCCUAGAGCAUAGCACUAGCCUCACAUCUCGUACACCAAAACGUCUAAAGGCCGAUGUUACCAUUUCCUCCAAGACAAAUACAGCUUCUGUUCUCCUUGAAGUAAUAUGAGAUACAUAAAAUUCCGCCAUGAACAAGUGAAGUGUGUGAACGACACUUGCUUGAGAUGGACCAAAUUCAAGAAUUUCUGGGCGAUUUGAUCCAACUCACGCUUGAACAAGCUAAGCCUCUCAAUUUUGGAAGGAAAAAGUGGUAGGGGGACACAUAAGAGCAGAAUCUACGGGAUGAGCUCUCGGGACGAUGUAUGAUGACUCCAAUUAGGAUUAGAAGGUUUUGGAUCGUCAUGCCAAAUCGAGAUACUUGAUGGUGUUCAAAUAGCUGCUAUGUCACAACAAAUUGCGUAACUUACUUGUGCAUUGGCAGUGUCCGAGGUUCAACGAGUUGCUGAAAAUGAAAGAAUGAGCAAAACCGUUGAGAAAAUCAAAGAAUAAGUGUAUAACCUCGCUCGUCGGCCUAGUAUGUCUCGUUCUUCAAGAGGACCCUCGAGUGAUGAAAAAGCCGAAUACAUAGCCUCCGCCUCUUAGCAUCUCUUUAGUGAUCAUUUUAUACUUCUUGUAGCAAUUUUUUUAAAAAGAUUUUUAUGUUUUUAUAUUAUGAUUUUAGUGUUUAUGGAUGUUUGAUUAAGUUUGUUAUUA